rnacentral:lncRNA from 1 species
UCUGGUUUUGAGAAAAGCAGUCCCAACGCUUCGGAGCAGGAACCAGCUGUGUUGGUGGAUAGUGAAAUACCCGGUGGAGCUAAACUGCUAGAGAAGUUGCAGGGAAGCAUUUCAGUUGAUGAAAAGGUGUUCUUGGCGGCGGCGGAUGCUGUAAAAACAGCAAUGUGCAAUUUGUUAAUUAAGAAGCAAUAUUCUGAUGAGAAACGAGAGUUCAGAAAGCGAACAAGAAAUGAUAGGAAAAGCAAGCAUUGAUUCAGUGUAUUGAUUGACAAUGUUGGUACAUGUAACAUUAGUUAUAUGGGAAUCUCCCAAUCUAUUUAAGGCACUGCAAAAACUUUCCAUUAUAGCCUUUUUUGGUUGAUGGAUGUCUAAUCUAACAAAUAUACAUUCUAGUAAUAAGUAGGGACAUAUAGUUAUUUUAUGGCUUAAAUGCAAAAUUGAUGUGUUUUUUACAUUUAGCAAUUUGUUUCGUUCGCAUGUGACAUUUAUUUUUAUUUAAAGGGUAAAUUCACUAAUAGUCCCUCAACUUUGGAGCAGUUGAUAAAACAGUCACUCAGAUUUCAAUUUAGUCAUUCGACUUUCGAAAAAUAACAAAACAGUCACCACUAAUCAUUUUUCGUUAUGUGUGUAAUGGAGUUAUCAUUUUCCGUUACAGACUUCCAUUUUCCAUCCCCCUCUCCCAUCCCUCCCUUUUCCUUACUAUCCCUCCUCCUACUCUUAUGCUUUCCCUCCCCCCCCCCCAACAUCGUCCUUUUGCUAACCCUCUUCCCCUACUCUGAUUCUUUCCCUUUCCCCUACCAACCCUCCCCCUACUUUGAUUCUCUAAUAAAGCAUUGUUUAUCAAUCUGAAAUCCUCUUCUCUACUACACAGAGGGAGACAGACCCUACAACACAACUAACAAAACUACACCACCCAACACACUAUUAAGACCCACUUCACCUGUAUUUGUCCCCAAAAAUGCAGCUAUAUUGGCAAACACAUUUGAUGCCCCAUUUCCCGGGAAGGAGUGAAACCCCAACAACAGUUGGAGGCAACCUAAGCAGAUGUGAAAGAUUCUCCAAUGAACAACAAAAGUACUUCGCUACCGUGUUGCCUAACAAAUAAAACAAAACAGCAAGCUAAACACCCAAUACCACAUACCCUACUAUCCUAAAUCCUUUGCAACCACAAUAGAAAAACUUAAUGUCAUCAAAGAAUCCAUCUGAAGAACAUUGGGGAUGAGCUUUCAAGAACUCACAUGGAUUAGCAAAACCCUGAUGAUCAAACAAUCCAUAACACAAAGCAGGGUUGCUCGAGCUUACGCUCAAAUCAUUCUCUUGAGCAUUCUUAUCAGCUAAAUUUGAUGAAUCUGCAUCAAGUUCACUAAUUUUUCUACGAAUAACACUAAAAUGAUCAUACCCAUUAGUGAAACCAGGUCCUUGAGUCACAUAGUUAAUAAGCAGAGACGACUAGCGAAUUGAGGGUUUCUUAAAAAAUUAACGUAGGUAUAGAAUAGGAAAAUCAGAAUCAAAGCAAAUAAUCCAUUGAAAAUUCCACGAAAUCUAGGAUUUUUUAAAGCAUAGAGACAAUAAUUCCUCAUUGAGAAACUACUCCAAAUUUCUUAGAAAGUGGAAUUAGACUAGGGUUUUUAGCAAAAGGAGCUAUGAAACCCCAACCCUGAAUUAAUAAGAGAACUUGAAUUAAUAAAUUCGACUUACCGAUGGCCAAAGCAGCAAACUUAAUGAUUUUCGAAAGGAAGAGAAAGAGAGAAUUGAAGUAGGGGGAUGGUGGGAGAGAGGGAAGAUUAAGGGAAAAGGGUUAGCAAAUGGACAAUAGGGAAUAGGGAGUGGGAUG